rnacentral:rRNA from 1 species
GACAGGUGGUGCAUGGUUGUCGUCAGCUCGUGUCGUGAGAUGUUGGGUUAAGUCCCGCAACGAGCGCAACCCUUAAGCUUAGUUGCCAUCAUUAAGUUGGGCACUCUAAGUUGACUGCCGGUGACAAACCGGAGGAAGGUGGGGAUGACGUCAAAUCAUCAUGCCCCUUAUGAUUUGGGCUACACACGUGCUACAAUGGACAAUACAAAGGGCAGCGAAACCGCGAGGUCAAGCAAAUCCCAUAAAGUUGUUCUCAGUUCGGAUUGUAGUCUGCAACUCGACUACAUGAAGCUGGAAUCGCUAGUAAUCGUAGAUCAGCAUGCUACGGUGAAUACGUUCCCGGGUCUUGUACACACCGCCCGUCACACCACGAGAGUUUGUAACACCCGAAGCCGGUGGAGUAACCUUUUAGGAGCUAGCCGU